rnacentral:pre_miRNA from 13 species
GGAGGUAUUGCACACUACCAAGUUGCAUGUUGUGAGAGCCUGGGUGCAGCUUGGUGUGUGCGAUACUUUC